CACGCCGCGUGAGUGAUGAAGGUUUUCGGAUCGUAAAGCUCUGUUGUUAGGGAAGAACAAGUACCGUUCGAAUAGGGCGGUACCUUGACGGUACCUAACCAGAAAGCCACGGCUAACUACGUGCCAGCAGCCGCGGUAAUACGUAGGUGGCAAGCGUUGUCCGGAAUUAUUGGGCGUAAAGGGCUCGCAGGCGGUUUCUUAAGUCUGAUGUGAAAGCCCCCGGCUCAACCGGGGAGGGUCAUUGGAAACUGGGGAACUUGAGUGCAGAAGAGGAGAGUGGAAUUCCACGUGUAGCGGUGAAAUGCGUAGAGAUGUGGAGGAACACCAGUGGCGAAGGCGACUCUCUGGUCUGUAACUGACGCUGAGGAGCGAAAGCGUGGGGAGCGAACAGGAUUAGAUACCCUGGUAGUCCACGCCGUAAACGAUGAGUGCUAAGUGUUAGGGGGUUUCCGCCCCUUAGUGCUGCAGCUAACGCAUUAAGCACUCCGCCUGGGGAGUACGGUCGCAAGACUGAAACUCAAAGG
rnacentral:rRNA from 1 species